GACGAACGCUGGCGGCGCGCUUAACAAAUGCAAGUUGAACGGAAAGGCCUGCUUUCCUUUGUUGAUUGUGGGUCCUCGAGUGUCUGACGGUUGCUUAACACGUGAGUGUUCUGCCCCCAACUUGGGUAUAAGCCCGGGAAACUCCGUCUAAUUCCCGAUAGGACUGCAGGGUGGUGCCUGUUGUGGAAAACGAUUUUCUAGUGGUUGGGGAUGAGCCCGCGGCCUAUCAGCUUGUUGGUGGCGUAAUGGCCUACCAAGGCGGCGACGGGUAGCCGGCCUGGGACGGUGGCCCGCCACAUUGGGACCGCGCCCCGGCCCAGAGUCCAGCCACAGUAAGCAGUGGGGAGUAUUGGACCAUGGGGGGAAGAUGGGUGUAGCGGUGCUGCGUGGGCGAUGACGGCCUUGGGGGUGUAAACUGCUUACGGCCGGGAGGGAGCCACGUGGUUGGAAGGGUGGUGACGGUAGUGGUAGAAGAAGCACCGGCUAACUACGUG
rnacentral:rRNA from 1 species